CUCGGGAGGCAGCAGUGGGGAAUAUUGGACAAUGGGCGAAAGCCUGAUCCAGCCAUGCCGCGUGUGUGAAGAAGGCCUUCGGGUUGUAAAGCACUUUCAGUGGGGAAGAAAGCCUUGGGGCUAAUACCCUCGAGGAAGGACAUCACCCACAGAAGAAGCACCGGCUAACUCCGUGCCAGCAGCCGCGGUAAUACGGAGGGUGCGAGCGUUAAUCGGAAUUACUGGGCGUAAAGCGCGCGUAGGCGGUCUGAUAAGCCGGUUGUGAAAGCCCCGGGCUCAACCUGGGAACGGCAUCCGGAACUGUCAGGCUAGAGUGCAGGAGAGGAAGGUAGAAUUCCCGGUGUAGCGGUGAAAUGCGUAGAGAUCGGGAGGAAUACCAGUGGCGAAGGCGGCCUUCUGGACUGACACUGACGCUGAGGUGCGAAAGCGUGGGUAGCAAACAGGAUUAGAUACCCCAGUAGUC
rnacentral:rRNA from 1 species